rnacentral:rRNA from 1 species
UACGUAGGGUGCGAGCGUUACUCGGAAUUACUGGGCGUAAAGUGUGCGCAGGCGGCUUGGCAAGUCGAGUGUGAAAUCCCCGGGCUUAACUUGGGAAUUGCGCUCGAAACUACCUGGCUAGAGUGUGGCAGAGGAAGGUGGAAUUCCACGUGUAGCGGUGAAAUGCGUAGAGAUGUGGAGGGACACCGAUGGCGAAGGCAGCCUUCUGGGCCAACACUGACGCUCAUGCACGAAAGCGUGGGGAGCAAACAGG